rnacentral:rRNA from 1 species
GAUGAACGCUGGCGGCGUGCCUAAUACAUGCAAGUCGAGCGAACAGAUGAGGAGCUUGCUCCUCUGACGUUAGCGGCGGACGGGUGAGUAACACGUGGAUAACCUACCUAUAAGACUGGGAUAACUUCGGGAAACCGGAGCUAAUACCGGAUAAUAUAUUGAACCGCAUGGUUCAAUAGUGAAAGACGGUUUUGCUGUCACUUAUAGAUGGAUCCGCGCCGUAUUGGCUAGUUGGUAAGGUAACGGCUUACCAAGGCAACGAUGGGAAGCCGACCGGAUAGGGGGACAGCCCGCACGGGAGUUGGACAGCGGACCAUGGCCCUGGGGAAGGCGCCAGAGGGCAACUUUCGGCAAGGGUGGAAAGCAUGGCACAACAGCGGGGAGGGUGAUGUAAGGGCUUCGGGAGAGAAAACACGUUUUAUGGGGGAAAAACAACUGUCUAAAAAAACGAACCGUUUUUGACGGUACAUAAUAAAAAAGCCCCGGCUAACUACGUG